GCACAAGCGGUGGAGCAUGUGGUUUAAUUCGACGCAACGCGAAGAACCUUACCUGGGCUCGAAAUGUAGUGGACCGGGGUAGAAAUAUCCCUUCCUAGCAAUAGGCUGCUAUAUAGGUGCUGCAUGGCUGUCGUCAGCUCGUGUCGUGAGAUGUUGGGUUAAGUCCCGCAACGAGCGCAACCCUUAUUACCAGUUGCUACCAUUUAGUUGGGCACUCUGGUGAAACCGCCUCGGAUAACGGGGAGGAAGGUGGGGAUGACGUCAAGUCCUCAUGGCCUUUAUGUCCAGGGCUACACACGUGCUACAAUGGCCGGUACAAACCGUCGCAAACCCGUGAGGGGGAGCUAAUCGGAAAAAGCCGGCCUCAGUUCGGAUUGUAGUCUGCAACUCGACUACAUGAAGCUGGAAUCGCUAGUAAUCGCGGAUCAGAAUGCCGCGGUGAAUACGUUCCCGGGC
rnacentral:rRNA from 1 species